rnacentral:rRNA from 1 species
AAGUAGAGUGGCGAACGGGUGAGUAAUACAUCGGAACAUUUCCAGUAGCGGGGGAUAACCUGUCGAAAGAUAGGCUAAUACCGCAUACGACCUACGGGUGAAAGCGGAGGACCGCAAGGCUUCGCACUAUUGGAGUGGCCGAUGUCGGAUUAGCUAGUUGGCGGGGUAAAAGCCCACCAAGGCUACGAUCCGUAGCUGGUCUGAGAGGACGAUCAGCCACACUGGAACUGAGACACGGUCCAGACUCC